AGGCUUAUCUCCCCCAAGAGUCCACAUCGACGGGGAGGUUUGGCACCUCGAUGUCGGCUCAUCACAUCCUGGGGCUGUAGUAGGUCCCAAGGGUUGGGCUGUUCGCCCAUUAAAGUGGUACGCGAGCUGGGUUCAGAACGUCGUGAGACAGUUCGGUCCCUAUCCGUCGCAGGCGUAGGAAAUUUGAGAAGACCUGUCCUUAGUACGAGAGGACCGGGAUGGACGUACCUCUGGUGUACCAGUUGUCCUGCCAAGGGCAUGGCUGGGUAGCUAUGUACGGAAUGGAUAAGCGCUGAAAGCAUCUAAGCGCGAAGCCAACUUCAAGAUAAGAUUUCCCACCGCAAGGGUAAGACCCCAGAAAGACUAUCUGGUUGAUAGGUCGAAGGUGUAAGUGCAGCAAUGUAUUUAGCUUAUCGAUACUAAUAGGUCGAGGACUUGACCAAU
rnacentral:rRNA from 1 species